AUUUUCUUCCAACUAAUCACCCAUUCUUCCUCCCUCUCAUCUCUCUCCUCCAACCCCAAAACCCUAGACGCGACCCUCCGCCGGCGCCGCUCGCCGCCGCCUGCGGCCAUGGAUCUCCUCCGCUGGCACCUCCACAAGGUCCGCUUCCCGGAGCCCACCAACCGCAUCCACAAGGACGAGUGCUGCGUCUCCUUCGACACCCCGAGGUCGGAGGGGGGCCUGUACGUGGACAUGAGCUCGUUCCUGGGGUUCGGGAGGGAGCAUGUGGAGUGGAACUUCGAGAAGACCGGGAACCCCGUGUACCUCCACAUCGUGCAGCGCCGGAAGCCGGACCCCGACGAGGCGGAUCGCCCGCUUAAGAAGCCCGCACUCCUCGCGAUAGGUGUUGAAGGAGGCUUUGGUGAUCAAGAACCUGAAUAUGAUGAGCAUUUUGAAAUCAUCAUCUUACCUGAAUUUAUCUCUCUUCCAUUCCCUUCAGUUGACUUGCCAGAGAAGGUUAGGCUUGCAGUUGUUAAGGUUAUCCUUACUGAGAGUGCUGAUAGAAAACAACAACUAGCUGCUUGGGUUGCUGAUAAGAAGAACAUUAGUAAAUAUGCUAUGGAUCUGCAGCAGCUAGACAAUGGUGUUAUUGUGCCUCCUACUGGAUGGAAGUGUAGCAAAUGUGAUAAAACUGAGAACCUCUGGUUGAAUUUAACUGAUGGUAUGAUCCUUUGUGGGAGAAAGCUUUGGGAUGGAAGUGGUGGGAAUAAUCAUGCAAUUGAACACUACGAACAGACUAAAUACCCUCUUGCAGUAAAGCUUGGAACAAUAACUGCUGAUUUGGAAGCCGCAGACGUUUUCUCAUACCCGGAAGACGAUAGUGUUGAAGAUCCACUAUUGGCUCAGCACUUGUCACAUUUCUGUAUCGAUUUUUCUUCACUUCAAAAGACUGAGAUGACUACUGCCGAGAGUUAUGACUGGAAUAGAAUACAAGAAAGUGGAAAAGAUGCUGAACUUCUAUUUGGACUUGGCUAUACUGGUCUUGCAAACCUAGGGAAUAGUUGCUAUAUGGCUUCAAUAAUGCAAGUCAUGUUUUCAACUCAUCCUUUCAUAUCGAGAUACUUCGAGAAGCAGAGUUUGAAAGCUGCAUUUGCAGCUGCACCUGCUGAUCCAACUGUGGACCUAAACAUGCAGAUGACAAAACUAGGACAUGGUUUGCUCUCUGGAAAAUAUUCUGCACGAACCAAGGAGGGGCAGGAAGGGAUACGUCCUCGCAUGUUUAAGUCAGUUAUUGCUGCGAACCAUCCUGAAUUUUCUAGUAUGAGGCAACAGGAUGCACUUGACUUCUUCCUUCACCUUAUUGACCGAGUUGAGCAGGCAAACCCUGGGAACCAUGAGUUAAAUCCUUGUUCAGGUUUCAAGUUCAUUAUUGAGGAGAGGGUCCAGUGCCCUUCUGGGAAAGUUUCUUACAACAAACGGUCGGACUACAUUCUUUCUUUGGGCAUACCACUGCAUGAGGCAACUAAUAAAGAGGAGCUAGAAGCUUUUAAUGAGAAGAAAGCUGCAAUGGACUUGGAUGGAAAAGAAGUGUCUAAUGAGGAAAUUGUGAGGCCUAGAGUCCCAUUGGAGGCAUGCUUGGCAAACUUUGCAGGCCCAGAGGAAAUUCCUGAUUUUUACAGCACUGCUUUAAAUUCGAAGACGACUGCCACAAAGACUGCUGGCUUUAACACCUUUCCUGAUUACCUGGUGCUGCAUAUGCGCAAGUUUGUAAUGGAAGCAGGAUGGGUGCCAAAGAAACUCUAUGUUUAUAUAGAUGUGCCAGAUACAAUUGAUAUCUCACAUAUGCGCAGCAAGGGUGUACAGCCUGGGGAAGAGCUGCUACCCGAAGGAGCUUCUGGUGACAACAAAGCGGAGCCUGCUCUACCUGUUGCCAGUGAGGAUAUUGUGUCCCAGCUUGCAAGUAUGGGGUUCAAUUACCUUCACUGUCUGAAAGCUGCUAUUAACACAUCAAACACAGGAGUUGAGGAGGCAAUGAAUUGGCUCCUCUCACACAUGGACGAUCGAGUUUAUUUUGCGAUGCAGAUAUUAAUGAUCCCAUAUCAAAAGAUUCACGUGCUUCUGAAUCUGUUGAUGAAGCAAGUGUUCAAACUCUCAUUUCCUUUGGAUUCCCAGAAGAAAUUGCCACAAUGGCCCUGAAAGCUUCUGGUGGUAAUAUCGAGAAAGCUACCGAUUGGAUUUUCAGCCAGGCAUCGAGUUCAGCAUCUGCUGACUCUUCAACUAGUAAUGUAAAUGCUGAUGACACUUACGUACCAGAUGGAUGUGGCAUAUACAAGCUGAUGGCUUUUGUGAGCCAUAUGGGCACAUCCACGAACUGCGGGCACUAUGUCGCUCAUGUCCUCGUGGACGGGAGGUGGACAAUAUUCAACGACAGCAAGGUUGCCGCAUCUGUCGACCUGCCCAAGGAUAUGGGCUACCUCUAUUUCUUUCAGAGGAUUAGCAGCUAGGCACUAGGCCUGGGCAAAAAUAACUGAACUGAAAAACCGAACCGAAAGAACUGAAUUACCGAAAGAACUGAACUGAAAAAUUCGUUUCCUUAUUCGCUUCCUGAUAUUGAGGAACCGAAAUAACCGAAGAAAAUCGGUUCCUACUCGGUUAACUUAAUUAACCGAAAGAACCGAAUUACAUGAAUGAUACUUAACUUGUAUUUUGUAAGAUUAUGUUUGGUUUAUGUGUGGUGUUUCAUAUUUGAACUACUAUAUAUUUGUGUUACUAUA